ACGAACGCUGGCGGCGUGCUUAACACAUGCCAGUUGAACGGAAAGGCCUCUUUCGGGGGGUACUCGAGUGGCGAACGGGUGAGUAACACGUGAGUAACCUGCCCUUGACUUUGGGAUAACUUCAGGAAACUGGGGCUAAUACCGGAUAGGAGCUCCUGCUGCAUGGUGGGGGUUGGAAAGUUUCGGCGGUUGGGGAUGGACUCGCGGCUUAUCAGCUUGUUGGUGGGGUAGUGGCUUACCAAGGCUUUGACGGGUAGCCGGCCUGAGAGGGUGACCGGCCACAUUGGGACUGAGAUACGGCCCAGACUCCUACGGGAGGCAGCAGUGGGGAAUAUUGCACAAUGGGUGGAAGCCUGAUGCAGCAACGCCGUGUGCGGGAUGACGGCCUUCGGGUUGUAAACCGCUUUCGCUCAUGACGAAGCUUUGUGUGACGGUAGUGGGUAAAGAAGCACCGGCUAACUACGUG
rnacentral:rRNA from 1 species